AAUUCUUUGAAAAAACCACGGAGGAAAAUUAGAUAAACUCGGCGACUCUGACACCCGAUUGAUCCAAUAAAUCGGCGCUUUAAACGGACUCAUCUCGAAAACAAGUCCGAGAUAGAUUGAAUUGUUAUUGUUUCAGUGAUUCAGUCGACUUGCAGAGUUCUUCAGGUGUUUUACUAAUUAUAAGACCUCCACCAUAGCCGCCACAAGCUGACAACUUCUCCGAAACGACGGAAUUUCGGAAAUGUUACAAGACGAUGAGAUCUUAAAAGGCCUGUUGGAACAACUACAAAUCCCCCAGAAAGCUGAAUGCAAAGAAUGCCCACUCGUUACCAUAAGACACUUUCACUCUCUCUCAAACCCUAAAGACGACACAGAAUCCUGCGUUUUCCCUCCUGUUAACCACGAAAAUCUCCAAAUACUAUCACACAACAGCAAACAACAUGAACACUCAUCAUCAAAGCUGCCGGCUUUGUCGCUGUCACCGUGUGAUGUGAGUUCCGAGAAGGCUGUGAACGGGUGGUUGCAUUAUGGGUUUAAGGUUUUACGCACCAAGAUUUAUAGUAUGGUUUCAUUGUUUGAGAGUAAAGACGGAGCGCGUAAAGGGGCGUUUUGGACAUCCGGUCGAUUUGCAGGGUUAGCCAUCGUGGUGAUAUGGUGGUGGUUUUGCCGGCGGCGGAGGAAUCAGAGAGAAAGGGUAGACAAUUUGAAGCUGAUUAUCAAAGAGAAAGAUGAGAAAAUACAAGUGAUUGAGUUAUAUCUUUGGCCAUAAUUACUCAAUCCUAGACUCUCCCAUCUCAAUAGUUAGUUCUCUUAAGUACAAUGUCUCUCUGUCACAAUUGUACGGCAGGAAUUGACGGACUAGAAAGGAGCUAACAUACAAGCAACCUGCAUGGACGCCAAGGUUGCAGAGCAUGACAGUAUGUUAGGUUUCCUAGAAAAAUCCUUCAACUACUGCGUCAGAUUGCACAAAUGAAUGAGGUGCUAGUGGGCCGUCACAAAGUUCUGGCUUCGAAGGAGUGGACUUGAUCAGAUUAGGAGGGAGGUUAGAUAGCAAUUUUUUGAGAGAUCUUCUCCAUUAGAGGCAGCUCUGUUGCUUUGUCUGCUGUACUUGCACAUAUUAGUCUGUAAGUAAAUUCAUGGCAUGGUGGCGAAAAUCUGUAUUUGACUUAAUGUUAGAAAGUUUUCAGAUAUAACAAGUUAAUGGAAGUAUAUUAGCUUUCACAA